rnacentral:lncRNA from 1 species
UCUCUUUUCCAAACACAACAAACUCACCGCCACACACUGCCCUUCCUGCGACCUUGAAUCCAGAGACCACCAGGCCCAAAAGCCACCUGGAGGAUUUCACUACUGUCUCUGUGGUGGUCAGAAGGGCUGAGAGCAGAACGCAGGAGCCAGAAGACAAUGUCAGAACCCCUUGGAACUGGAGUUACAGACAGGUCCUGGGCCUUGAACUCAUAUCGCGAAGCUUAGAAGUGAGCGCCCUUACAGGCUGAGCCACCUCUGGAUCCUACUGAACAUAUUUAAACAGUGUGUAUCUGCACUGGAGUCUUGGUGAGGAGUCACAGAGAGCAGCUCCUGCCAUUCCGUGCCUGCAGAGCCUCCUGGCAGCUGCUGGGAACUGGCAAUCCCCACCUUCCUCCUGGGCUGGUUUGAUAUGGGGUAAGGCCAGCACCCAGAUGUCCUCUCCUUGGGAAAAGCCCUGAUCCGCCCAUGUGCCUGGAUGACAAAGCCACACACAGCAGCUGCAGGAUAACAGUUACAGCUCUUCAGUCUGGGGAGGGCUGUGACCGUCUGAGGUUUCACAACAGGUCUGAAGGACAAGCUGAAGUAUGAACCCAGAUGCCUAGACUUGAGGUUCAAAGCAGCCUCAAGGCUCCAGUCUCCCAGGGACUUAAAGCUGUUUCUUGUCAACAACAUUGCCCAGAAGCAGCUCGGAUGCAGACUGCACGUAUACAGGUGCCCAGGACAGUCAGAGUCUUUCACAAACAUGAGCGCCUAUGUCAUUGUCAAACAGCACCGCGGUCCCUUAGUGCCUAGAAAGGAUGUCAAACCUGGGGAUGACAGCCCAGAGUCCCUUACGAACAGCAGUGUAAUGUAUGAACUAUCUAAGUAUAAGGGGUGGCAGGAGAGGGCAGAGGGCCUGAGACCUCCAUGGCUGGCUUCUUCUUUGAGAAAGUGGUCUGCCAAAGAUCUCCAGAUGUCUGACACAUCACAAUGCACUACAGACCAUGGAUCUGCCUCAGGCAGGUUACCAGGUUAACAAGCAGGGCCAUUAACCUGUGAACUGCUGAAGUUCUUUAGCAACACAUCUCACUGGCAUAGCAGUACAAGCCUCUGAGGGGAGGGUGUGGAUGUGCUUGCUUUACCAGUGGGGCGCUGGAUGCAAGGCUGCCCAGUGGUUCUCAAAGCUGUUCUCACCCUAGAAGCCCCAUCGCUGCCUGGGAACUUGUUAGGUUCAUGUUUGGGGUUUGAGGCACCCAGAAACAACUCGGUGGGAAACUGCGGUGGUUUGCUUUCACAAGGGUCCCAGGUAAUUCCGAGUCAGCUUUGUGGUUGAGAGCCACUGUUGGGCAUAGGGUAGGCUGAGACUCACUCACAGGGCCUAGGUAGACCUAGCAUCUGUGUUACCCAGGGCAAAGUAAGUGCCUUUAAGAAGGGACCCACAAAACCAAAGCCAAAGCAAACAAAACCCUAACCUAAUAAAAACACAUUAUUGGUUUAUGAGAGACAGACAGACAGACAGACAGCAUGGCAUGAUGGAUCAGGAGUUUGAGGCCAACCUUGGCUAAACAAGUUUGAAGCCAACUUGGGCUGCAUGAAAAGGGAACAAACAAACAAAAGGAUUAAUAACAAAAAUAUUGUGACAGUGGCCAUUGGAAAUAACUUUUUAUUUACUUUUGGUCUCAUGUAGCCCAGGUUGUCCUCUAUUUCCUGCUGCUGCUCCUCCAACUUUCUGAGUGUGGAGAUGAGAAGAAAUUGUAUUUACCAAGAGCUCAGUCUAGUGAGGGACUAAGUCUGGGAUGAUGCUAAAAAAACGGAAGUCCCUGCACUUGGGAGGUAAAGGUAGGGAAUCCACAACAGACCAAAGCAUGGAUACGCCCCAAGUCCAACGUGGUGAACCGAUGAAUCUCCAAAGCACAACCUAGACACAGGUGACAUCUCUGGGAACCUGAGCACAAGACACAGCUUCAGCGAGCUCAGCAGGUUGGUCACAGACCAGACAACAAAAGGUUCAUCCUCCUGCCUGACCAUCAUCCAUCCAUCAGCAAGACCAUGCUCCAGUUUGGACUUCCUGGAUUCUGCAGCUUCAUGCAGGAGUUAGAGCAUGUGAGGAGAUCAGCUCGGGUCCAUAGCUGGGCCCACCCACCUGCUUCUCUUCCUGUCCUCAGUGUCACAACAAUACAGGAUUCAGUCGUGAGGAUACCCCAGCCCAUCUGCUCAUUGCUCCACACAGCUACUGCCUCCAGAAGUUGAACACCUGUGACAGAGCCAAUUAUCUAGGGAUAGAGGAGCCAAGAGGCUUGGGUUGCCCUUGAGGCUGUAUUUGGGCCAUUCAGAAGUUUAGUCCAUUAUCAAAAUGGCACUGAGUAUGAAGACACACAGGCAGACAGGAUGCUGGAGAAGGAGCUGAGAGUUCUGUAUCUGGAUCCGUGGACAGCAGGAGAGACACUGGGACUGGCUUGGAUUUUUGAAACAUCAAAGGAUGCCUGCUUCCCACGUGUGGGGACAGAGGUGCAGAAAAGCAUUUCCCUGAUAUCAAGAUGACAACAUGACCAACUCUGUAGCACCUCACAGAUGAUUUCUACCAGCCUUAGCUACGGAAACCGCACCCCAAGAAGAGCUUUGAAUUAGCCAUAUCCAGAGACCUGAUUCUGCGCACCCAGCACAGAACAAACACCCUUCCCCCAGAGGUCCACUCUAGAUGAGAGAGCUUCCCCAGGGGUUGCUAGCCGCACCUAACUGUCAUAAAGGAUGCUGGCCCCAGAGCUCAGAGCACACCUCCAUUGCACCUCGGUGCCUGCCCCAUGUCUGAGCCCAUGAGUUCUCAUCAGUAUCGCCUCCAGUCUUUUGGGCCUGCUUGGGACCUUUACUUUCUUGGGCUGUGGAACCAUAAUGUACUGACCUCGAAACCAGUCCUGGCUGGGUUACAGCCAGGACAACAAACUUGUUUCCACUGGAGAGCCUGGGUGCAUUCUAGUAGCAGUGAUUUAACCAAAGACCACCCAGACCUGAUUUUACUCACUGCCCCUUGCUACGUCUGAAGGUCUGGGGAAAGCACCCACCUUGGCCUGAGGUGUGUGGCUAUUAGCCUUUCCAGGAAAGUGACGGUGGCAACCGUGGUUAUAAACGUGACCAGUUAACAGAACCUAGCAGCCCUGCCUUCUGUCUGUGCCAGGGUGGAAGCCAGUGGCCCGAGCCGACCAGAAGAUCGCCUGAGCCGAGCAGAUGAGCCAGAGCCAAUCAGAGGAGCACCUGACUCCCAGCUUUAUAUUACCAUUUUUUCCUUUUAAUUUCUUCUUCUCACAUAUAUUACAUCCUGACCACAGUUUCCCCUUCGUCCCCUCCCCCUAGUCUCUUCUCCUUUCACCUUUGCUCAGAAAAGAGCACACCACUCCAGAGCAUCAACCAGACAUGCACAACAAGCUACAGUAAGUAAGACAGGCACAUAUUCUCACAUCGAGGCUGGGCAAGGCCACCCAGUAGGAGGAAAUGAGCCCCAAAGGCAGGCAGAAGAGCCAGAGAGAGCCCCUGUUCCCACUCUUAGGACAAGACCUAGCUCAGACCCCUGCAGGUUCCCUGAUCUCUUUGAGCCCCGUGAGUCCUGGUCAGUUGAUUCUGUGGGCCCUUUUGUGUGAUGUCCUUGAUCCCUGCGGCUACUCCAGCCCUUCUUCCCCCUCUUCUGCAGGACCCCCGAGCUCCGCCUAGCGUUUGGCUGUGGGACAGUGCACCUGUUCCCAUCAGUUGCUUCAUGAAGUCUCCCUGGUCUCUCUGGGGACGAUGAUGCCAGAUUUAAUAACGGGAUGCUACACUCUACAUUUCAUGAAGCAUAUUCAUUAUUUGGUGAUCUCUGCACCUGGGUCACUAGUCCAUCAAUGUCUUCAUUCACAGUUUCCUGUCAAAACUGCUUUUUUUUUUCCUUCGCAGGCAUCAGCUGGACCCCAAGGUGGGGUCUAGGCACUCCAAACCUUCAUGAACCUACACCUUAGUAGCUGUGAGUUUAUUUAUUCUUUUUGUUUGCUUAUUUGUUUGUCUUGAAACCGGCUCUCUCUAUUGUGUCUCUCCGGCUGUCCUGGAACUCACUAUGUUAAGCAGACUGGCCUCACAGAAAUCCACCUACGUCUAGCUUCUAAAUGUUAUUCUAUUUCUUUUAAAACGUAUUUAUCCAUUUAUUUAUUUUGAGACAGACCUCACUACAUGGACAGAGUGCUGGGAUUAAAGAUGCGUGUCACCAUGCCUGAUCCUUAUUUCUUUUGUUUUUCUAGAUGACGCUUUAUUACUUCCUUCCAGCUGUUCUUGGGCAGCCACAGCACCUGCCAUGCUGGCCAGGCACCCACCCUCUGGCCCAUCAUCCCCAUCUGCGCUGGAGCUCAGCAGCCAUGCGAGAGAACUGACCAAACUCACGGAGCAGGCACUUGGCUCAGUCGGGACCAGUCGCUGCUGUGAAUCACCCUCUCGCAAGAAGUACCACCACUGUCCUCAUCGUGGUGACGAAGUCCCCGGCACUGGCAUCUUGAGGAAGACUUCACUUUGGCUCACAGUUUGAGGGCACAGCAUGGAGGCGCAGGUGUCAGGCGCUCUCUCGGGGUUGUUGUGUACCCUAUACCUGGGGAACCUGUCUGUGGGAUUGGUGCCAUCCACGGCCAGAGAGGGGCUUCCUUCCUCAGUUAAGCCGUUCUGGAAGCACUCUCAUAGUCCUGUCCAGAUUACGUUUCUCAUCAAGCCGAUGAAGAAACGCAAGCGGCAGGUGCUUAUGACGUUCUUGGGUCAUUUGCCGCCCUCGUCCCUCCUCUCACAGGUUCCUUUUGUCUUUCAAGAUAGCCUCCUGUGUUUUGUGGAUUUUGUUUGUUUGUUUGUUGUUGUUUUAAUUAAGGUGGGAUUUCAUUAUGGAGCCCUGGCUGUCCUGGAACUGGCUGUAUAGACCCGGCGGGCCACAAACUCACAGAGAUCAGCCUGCCUCUGCCUCUCGAGUGCUGGGAUUAAAGGUGUGCACCCCCACGCUCAGCCUGUUUUCAAAGCUUUAUUUCACAUAUGAGAGAAAAUCAGUGGUGCUUGCUUUUCUGAAUCUGAAAUUUGCACAGCGUGAUGAUCUCUUCAAGGCCAAAUAUAAACUCCACUGUGUCUCUGAACCAAUUCUCUUCAGCCCUUAAGCCUUUGCACUUCAUAGUCUAU